ensembl:lncRNA
UACCACGCCCCCGUAUGACCACUCCCCUUGCUGCCCCAGUCCCUGGCUCCUCCUAGAUCCUUCCACGUGCAGUUGUCUCAUUGCUGAGCCCCUGGCCCUGUCCAUCUCCAGCACACCCGGGGCGGGGUCUAUGCUACUUUACCAAGGCUUACAGGUUCAGAGGUUCAGUCUAUUGUCAUCAAGGUGGGAGCAGGCACGGUGCAGGAGGAGCUGAGAGUUCUACAUCUUCAUCUGAAGGCCACCAGAAGACUGACUCCCAGUAGGGAGCCGUCCAGGUCUGUCAGUGUCAACUACGACCUGCCAAAAGCAGCUCAACCGGCUCAGAAACAACAUCGGUGACAAUGACAAUGAUGCCCACGUGACCAGAACAUUUCCAGAGCUAUCCUCAAAGAUCUGAAGGACGUCUUCCUGCAUCCUCACACACCUCCCGCCAUCCAUGCAAGAGUUCCAUGGAUGAGUUCCAACCGGACCUCUCCAAGGAACUGGACUUCUCUGAGGGACUGAACCUCUCCAAGGGACUGGACCUCUCCGGGGACUGUCCCAGGGGUAGGGGUUGGUGGCACUUAUCUGACUCUGUAAGACUACUCCCAUAGAGUUUUCGUUAGGAUAUCUUACUCUCCUUAGUUCCCUCAAGCAAGAGAUUAAAAAAACAAAAGCC